CCUACGGGGGGCAGCAGUGGGGAAUAUUGCGCAAUGGGGGAAACCCUGACGCAGCAACGCCGCGUGAGUGAAGAAGGUCUUCGGAUCGUAAAACUCUGUCAUCGGGGACGAAGAAGUGACGGUACCCGAAGAGGAAGCCCCGGCUAACUACGUGCCAGCAGCCGCGGUAAUACGUAGGGGGCGAGCGUUGUCCGGAAUUACUGGGCGUAAAGGGUGCGUAGGCGGUAUGUUAAGUCAGGUGCGAAAUCCCACGGCUCAACUGUGGUGUUGCACUUGAAACUGGCAUGCUAGAGUGCAGGAGAGGGAAGUGGAAUUCCUAGUGUAGCGGUGAAAUGCGUAGAGAUUAGGAGGAACACCAGUGGCGAAGGCGGCUUCCUGGCCUGUAACUGACGCUGAGGCACGAAAGCGUGGGUAGCGAACAGGAUUAGAUACCCUGGUAGUCCACGCCGUAAACGAUGGAUACUAGGUGUAGGAGGUAUCGACCCCUUCUGUGCCGUAGUUAACGCAAUAAGUAUCCCGCCUGGGGAGUACGGCCGCAAGGCUAAAACUCAAAGGAAUUGACGGGGGCCCGCACAAGCAGCGGAGCAUGUGGUUUAAUUCGAAGCAACGCGAAGAACCUUACCAGGGCUUGACAUCCCCCUGACCGGUCUAGAGAUAGACCUUUCUCUUAUGAGACAGGGGAGACAGGUGGUGCAUGGUUGUCGUCAGCUCGUGUCGUGAGAUGUUGGGUUAAGUCCCGCAACGAGCGCAACCCCUAUCAUUAGUUACCAGCACUUAGGGUGGGGACUCUAAUGAGACUGCCGGGGAUAACCCGGAGGAAGGUGGGGACGACGUCAAAUCAUCAUGCCCCUUAUGUCCUGGGCUACACACGUGCUACAAUGGCCAGUACAGAGGGAAGCGAAGCGGUAACGCGGAGCAAAUCCCAGAAAGCUGGUCCCAGUUCGGAUUGUGGGCUGCAACUCGCCCACAUGAAGUCGGAGUUGCUAGUAAUC
rnacentral:rRNA from 1 species